rnacentral:rRNA from 1 species
GACGAACGCUGGCGGCGUGCUUAACACAUGCAAGUCGAACGGAAAGGCCUUUUCGGCGGUACUCGAGUGGCGAACGGGUGAGUAACACGUGGGUGAUCUGCCCUGCACUCUGGGAUAAGCCUGGGAAACUGGGUCUAAUACCGGAUAGGACCGCACUUUAGUGUGUGUGGUGGAAAGUUUUUUCGGUGUAGGAUGAGCCCGCGGCCUAUCAGCUUGUUGGUGGGGUAAUGGCCUACCAAGGCGGCGACGGGUAGCCGGACUGAGGGGUUGGUCGGCCACAUUGGGACUGAGAUACGGCCCAGACGCCUACGGGAGGAAGCAGUGGGGAAUAUUGCACAAUGGGCGCAAGCCUGAUGCAGCGACGCCGCGUGGGGGAUGACGGCCUUCGGGUUGUAAACGCCUUUCGCCAGGGACGAAGCGUUUUGUGACGGUACCUGGAGAAGAAGCACCGGCUAACUACGUG